UGCAGAAUCCCGUGAACCAUCGAGUCUUUGAACGCAAGUUGCGCCCGAUGCCACUAGGCUGAAGGCACGUCUGCCUGGGCGUCACAC
rnacentral:rRNA from 1 species